rnacentral:rRNA from 1 species
GAUGAACGCUAGCGACAGGCUUAACACAUGCAAGUCGAGGGGCAGCACAGGUAGCAAUACCGGGUGGCGACCGGCGCACGGGUGAGUAACGCGUAUGCAACUUACCUAUCAGAGGGGGAUAACCCGGCGAAAGUCGGACUAAUACCGCAUGAAGCAGGGGCCCCGCAUGGGGAUAUUUGCUAAAGAUUCAUCGCUGAUAGAUAGGCAUGCGUUCCAUUAGGCAGUUGGCGGGGUAACGGCCCACCAAACCGACGAUGGAUAGGGGUUCUGAGAGGAAGGUCCCCCACAUUGGUACUGAGACACGGACCAAACUCCUACGGGAGGCAGCAGUGAGGAAUAUUGGUCAAUGGGCGUAAGCCUGAACCAGCCAAGUCGCGUGAGGGAUGAAGGUUCUAUGGAUCGUAAACCUCUUUUAUAAGGGAAUAAAGUGUGGGACGUGUCCUAUUUUGUAUGUAC